rnacentral:telomerase_RNA from 1 species
ACUUAGUUCAUUGCAUUGUGUGGAAAAAUGAAACUAUAACCUAACCUGGGGGGGGUCAACUAGUGAGCUCACGGCUAGUUGUAAAAAAACAACAGUGAGUCAGUUUUUGCAAUGCAAUGUUUAAUUU